rnacentral:rRNA from 1 species
CCCUUAGAUGUUCUGGGCCGCACGCGCGCUACAAUGAUGAAUUCAACGAGUUUAUAACCUUGGUUGAAAAGCCUGGGUAAUCUUUUGAACUUUCGUCGUGAUGGGGCUAGACCCUUGCAAUUAUUGGUUUCCAACGAGGAAUUCCUAGUAAACGCAAGUCAUCAGCUUGCAUUGAUUACGUCCCUGCCCUUUGUACACACCGCCCGUCGCACCUACCGAUUGAAUGGUCCGGUGAAAUCUUCGGAUUGAGACUUUGAUUUCUUCACGGAAAACGCUGUUUUAAAAAGUUGAUUAAACCUUACCAUUUAGAGGAAGGUGAAGUCGUAACA